GCAGGGAAACAGAUAGACCCACGAAGUCUUGUUGGUUAAUGUGUUCAAUCAUUGUUGGUAUCAUGCAUGGGAUUAUCUAUGAGGUUAGAUGAAGUUCUUCUUCAUCUUCCUUGUACUCAACUGAUGUCCAAUCAAUGAUCCAUUUCACAUUACCACGCUGGAGCUCUGACUUCUAGACAAUCGAGAUGUAUAUGGUGUUGUUCUUAGUGUUAGUAUAUUGUAUAGCAUCUUUCACAAGGUGCUACUAUACUUAGCUUUGAACAUGAUCUUUACGUCUAUCGUCUAGAAGGUGAUCAAAAACACCUUUAAUCAGGUGUUGUCAGAUUGUCUGUAUACAUGGAUGGUUGAAUUGAGUUAUCACUCUUUAUGCCUAUCGACUCUUGUAGUUGAUUUCAUUUAGAGUAUCGGUGCUCAUUCGUUUUCCAUUUCCCGCUGUUGUACAGCAUGAUAAUCCAGAGUCGGUAGGUCGGUCAUCUAUCUGACCC
rnacentral:rRNA from 1 species